CCUGCGGAACUGCUGGCACCUUAUACCGGCGAUAUCGCCGCCGAAGGGGUCAGCAAACUGUUACGCGGCGGUGCCGCCUUUUUACGUCACGGUUUUCAGCGCCAGCAACGUUAUGCCGCCGAGGCGUUAACGGAAGAGUGGAAGCUGGCGCCGGGACCACUGGAAGUGGCAUGGUUUGCUGAAGAAACGGCGGCCGUUGCGCGUAGCGUUGAUGCAUUAAUGAAGCGGCUGGAAAAGCUGGAGGGACAAUGA
rfam:Yokenella regensburgei ATCC 43003 genomic scaffold Scfld2, whole genome shotgun sequence.